rnacentral:rRNA from 1 species
AAGUCGAACGAUGAAGCCUGCAACUUGUUGUGGGUGGAUUAGUGGCGAACGGGUGAGUAAUACGUGGGUAACCUGCCCUCCUUUUUGGGAUAAGCCUUGGAAACGGGGUCUAAUACCGAAUAUUCUGGCGCUCUCGCAUGGGGGUGUUGGGAAAGCUUUUGUGUAAGGGGGGAUGGGCUCGCGGCCUAUCAUCUUGUUGGGGGGGUGAUGGCCUACCAAGGCGGUCACGGGUAGCCGGCCUGAGGGGGUGACCGGCCACUUUGGCACUGAUAUACGGCCCACACUCCUACGGGAGGCAGCAGUGGGGGAUAUUGCACAGUGGGCAAAAGCCUGAUGCAGCCACCCCGCGUGGGGGAUAAAGGCUUUCGGGUUGAAAACCUUUUUCUCUAUCACACAGGGCUCACUUAGGGUGGGUUGAGGGUAGGUGGAAAAAAAGCCCCGGCUAACUA